CUACGGGUUGCUGCAGUGAGGAAUAUUGCACAAUGGGGGGAACCCUGAUGCAGCAACGCCGCGUGGAGGAUGACGCAUUUCGGUGUGUAAACUCCUUUUAUAUGUCAAGAAAAUGACGGUAGCAUAUGAAUAAGCACCGGCUAACUCCGUGCCGAGCAGCCGCGGUAAUACGGAGGGUGCAAGCGUUACUCGGAAUCACUGGGCGUAAAGGACGCGUAGGCGGGUUGGAAAGUCAGGUGUGAAAUCCUACAGCUUAACUGUAGAACUGCACUUGAAACUUCUAAUCUAGAGUAUGGGAGGGGGAAAUGGAAUUAGUGGUGUAGGGGUAAAAUCCGUAGAUAUCACUAGGAAUACCUAAAGCGAAGGCGAUCUCCUGGAACAUUACUGACGCUAAGGCGUGAAAGCGUGGGGAGCAAACAGGAUUAGAUACCCCGGUAGUC
rnacentral:rRNA from 1 species